ACGGAAGGCAGCAGUGGGGAAUAUUGCACAAUGGGGGAAACCCUGAUGCAGCGACGCCGCGUGAAGGAAGAAGUAUCUCGGUAUGUAAACUUCUAUCAGCAGGGAAGAUAAUGACGGUACCUGACUAAGAAGCCCCGGCUAACUACGUGCCGGCAGCCGCGGUAAUACGUAGGGGGCAAGCGUUGUCCGGAAUGAUUGGGCGUAAAGGGCGCGUAGGCGGCCCGGUAAGUCUGGAGUGAAAGUCCUGCUUUUAAGGUGGGAACUGCUUUGGAUACUGUCGGGCUUGAGUGCAGGAGAGGUUAGUGGAAUUCCCAGUGUAGCGGUGAAAUGCGUAGAGAUUGGGAGGAACACCAGUGGCGAAGGCGACUAACUGGACUGUAACUGACGCUGAGGCGCGAAAGUGUGGGGAGCAAACAGGAUUAGAUACCCUGGUA
rnacentral:rRNA from 1 species